rnacentral:tRNA from 1 species
CGCAGCAUUCUCUGGUAGGGGGCGUACGGCUGAUAUCCGUAUCGACGAGGGUUCGAUUCCCUCUGCUGCGA